UCUUUAAGAAAAUAAUUUUAAGUCCAAUCUGCUCACUGAAUUUUAAAGAGCCGCAGUAUUUUGACUGUGCUAAGGUAGCAUAAUCANUAGUUUUUUAAUUGAGAACUGGAAUGAAAGAUUUAAUGAGAAAAUAGCUUUCUUUAUUUAAAUGAAAAGAAUUUUAUUUUUAAUUUAAAAAGAUUAAAUUUUUAUAGGGGACGAGAAGACCCCAUAGAUUUUUAUUAUUUUAAUAAUUAAUUUAUUUAGUAUGUUUAAUAAUAAUUGUUAAGUUAAUUUUGUUGGGGUGAUAAGAAAAAAUGUGUAACUUUUCUAUAAAAUUUCUUUAUGAAAGAAUUUUUGAUCCAUUAAUUAUGAUUAUUAGUUUAAAUUACCUUGGGGAUAACAGCGUAAUUUUAUUAAAGAGUUCUUAUUGAUAAUAAAGUGUGCGACCUCGAUGUUGAAUUAAAAAAAGAUAUAGGAGCAGAAAUUUAUAUUCUUAGUCUGCNCGACUAUUAAAUUUU
rnacentral:rRNA from 1 species